rnacentral:tRNA from 1 species
GUGCCGGUGGUGUAAGGCGAACAUCGCUGCCCUGAAAACAGAAGAUACGGGUUCGAGUCCCGCCUGGCGCA